GGACGAUUAGCUCAGUUGGUUAGAGCGCUACAUUGACAUUGUAGAGGUCACAAGUUCGAGUCUUGUAUCGUCCA
rnacentral:tRNA from 1 species